rnacentral:lncRNA from 1 species
GAGAAGGUCCCUUUUUACCUUCUCACCAACUAGAAAUGAAAACUCCUAAACAUGGACUUUAAAUCAAAGUUACCAUGAGAGAAAAUUCUAAAAAAUCAAGGGCAAUACACCUGCUUGAGAGAAUCAGGAUUGGCUCAUCAAUGGCCAGUUUUAGCAUUUAUUAAGUGCCUAUUGUGUUAGUGGUGAUGAAUUCAAAGACAGUAAGACACAGCCCCUUCCCUUGAGAGCUUAAAAUUCUAAUAUGCACCAUUCCAUGGAUUAUUUGACCACUCUGUACAGUAGUGGAAAUGCUUGCCUGAGUAAGCAUAUAUGAAUGUAGAAAAGCUACAAUUUUAAAACCAAGAACUCAUGCUGUGUGAUUCAUAGGAUGUUCAAAUUCUGCCCAAUCCUUAACUGAUUAUUUUUUUUAGGUAGUGCUCCUCAGCCUAAGGAAUCAGAUAAUCCAGGAACUGGCUCUAAGAAUAUGCAUUUCUCAGUAAUUCUAUGUACUUUUCGUUACUUUCUUGCAGAAAAGUCAUAAGUGGACUCUCAUGCAAAGGUGAUGUGUUCCUCAAUUUUCCAUUCAGACUUAUCUGAGAAUAGUUACUAUGGAUGAUUGGAAAUAUUUCACUUUAACAACUCAUUCUUUCGUUAUUUCUAGGCUUUUUUUUUAUAACAUUCCGAUAAAUGGUUCAUUCAAACAUAAUAAAAUACCUCACAAUGGGCUGGCGAGCAAGUGCUGGCUAAAGUAGUUCACUGAGAAAAAGGCUAGAGGUGAGAGGAUUUUGAAAGCCAAAACCUGAACCUGAAGUUAUCCAUUCCCCCAAGGAAAAUUCCCUACUAAAACUGUCCCUGUAAUUGCUUUCACUUUUAUGGGAAAUGUACACAGUCAAAAAUGAAACCUCAUUAAUUUAAUGAAAAUAUUUCCUGGAUGAAUUAAUAAGGUGCUCUCCUGCUGAGUUUAAAGCACCAAGUUAUUGAAAAGACAAAAAGUGCAACUUAAAAGUGCCAGCUUUUGCCUGGCAGCUGGAAUGUGAAAUUCUCAUGGUAUAUGUUUUGCAUUCUUGGUUUCUGUUGACAAACCAUCUCCAUGGAAACAGACAUUAAAUCUCUGAAAAUACUGGAAAAGCUACUACAGAGAUGUCCAUCCAAAACUCUCAAUUGCUGUCCUUUUCCAAGUCAGGUCCCAUAUGCACACCGCGGGCCUGGGAGGACAUUCUCCUUUAGAAAUGACUUUGUCG